AUCCGACUGACGAGUCACAACAAGGACGAAACGCACGUUCUGGAU
rnacentral:hammerhead_ribozyme from 1 species